UGGGGAAUAUUGCACAAUGGGCGCAAGCCUGAUGCAGCCAUGCCGCGUGUAUGAAGAAGGCCUUCGGGUUGUAAAGUACUUUCAGUCGGGAGGAAGGUGGUAAGGUUAAUAACCUUAUCAAUUGACGUUACCGACAGAAGAAGCACCGGCUAACUCCGUGCCAGCAGCCGCGGUAAUACGGAGGGUGCAAGCGUUAAUCGGAAUUACUGGGCGUAAAGCGCACGCAGGCGGUUGAUUGAGUCAGAUGUGAAAUCCCCGGGCUUAACCCGGGAAUUGCAUCUGAUACUGGUCAGCUAGAGUCUUGUAGAGGGGGGUAGAAUUCCAUGUGUAGCGGUGAAAUGCGUAGAGAUGUGGGGGAAUACCGGUGGCGAAGGCGGCCCCCUGGACGAAGACUGACGCUCAGGUGCGAAAGCGUGGGGAGCAAACAGG
rnacentral:rRNA from 1 species